CUCUCUCUCUCUCUCUCUCUCUCUCUCUCUUUCUCUCUUUCUCUCUCUCUCUCUCACCCCCCCUCUCCCUCUUAGUCACUCAUUAUCUGUCUUGACAGAGACUGGAUGGAACAUCACACCGCACACUCGGAAUGACUACCGUCAGGCGGAAAUGGAGAUGAAGAAAUGGGAGAGAGAACCGAGUUUGAGGAGGACGGCAGCUGGCCAUGGCCAUACAGAGGGCUCUGAUGACGUCCCAACCCCUUACAGUGAUGUCAUGUGACAGGAAGAGGAAGUGAGGUCGUCUUGGAUUCACCCACCGUCGUCACCACCCAGGACAGCAACUAAGUCCGCAGAAUGAUUCUAGAGCCCUGCUGUACCGCCCUGUGUUUACUGUCUCCAUCUAACUGAAAACAUGGUACAUACAUGUGUUUACUGUCUCCGUCUAACUGAAAACAUGGUACAUACAUGUGUUUACUGUCACUGUCUAACUGAAAACAUGGUACAUGCAUGUGUUUUACUGUCUCCAUCUAACUGAAAACAUGGUACAUACAUGUGUUUACUGUCACUGUCUAACUGAAAACAUGGUACAUACAUGUGUUUACUGUCACUGUCUAACUGAAAACAUGGUACAUACAUGUGUUUUACUGUCUCCAUCUAACUGAAAACAUGGUACAUACAUGUGUUUACUGUCACUGUCUAACUGAAAACAUGGUACAUGCAUGUGUUUACUGUCUCCAUCUAACUGAAAACAUGGUACAUACAUGUGUUUACUGUCUCCAUCUAACUGAAAACAUGGUACAUACAUGUGUUUACUAUCUCCGUCUAACUGAAAACAUGGUACAUACAUGUGUUUACUGUCUCCAUCUAACUGAAAACAUGGUACAUACAUGUGUUUACCGUCUCCACCUCUAUAUCUAUCCCUGUCUGUCCAUUUCAUUUAAAGCAUGCCAGUCUUUAUGUACCAAAGAUGUUUUCAUCACAGUCUUGAUCUUGAACACAAUAUGCGUCACACCCUAGUAGCCAAACCACAAAUAUCUCUCCCUACACUUUCCACCUCUCUCUCUUGCCUAGCCUCGUUUUUCACACACAGAGACAUUCACAUGCACACACACACACACACACACACACACGCACGCACGCACGCACGCACACACACACACACACACGCACGCACGCGCACGCGCACGCACGCACGCACGCACACACACACACACAAACUCACCUUCUGAGUUUCCACUGCACAGGUACAUCCUCCUGCCAACCAGGUAGGGAUUAGAAAAUAUAAUUUAUGCCUUUCUGAAAUGUGGCCUCUCUUGGCUCUCUGACAGGAAGGUUGCCUCUGCCAUUUUCUAUUUCCCCUUUUAACAUUGUGCAUACCAACAAUAUUAUCUCCCAAAUAAAUUCAAAUGAGAGGGG